rnacentral:rRNA from 1 species
UAGGAUAAUCAUUAGUUUUUUAAUUGAAAGCUUGUAUGAAGGGUUGGACAAAGAAAAUACUGUCUCUGUAGUAGAGAUUGAAUUUAACUUUUAAGUGAGAAGGCUUAGAUAAUUUAGGGGGACGAUAAGACCCUCUAAAGCUUUACAUAAAUUUUAUUUAUUUAUUAGUUUAUAUGUUUAAUAUUAUUAAGUAAUUGGGUGUUUUGUUGGGGUGAUAAUAGUAUAAUGAUUGUAACUGCUUUAUGAAUUAGACAUAAAUAUAUGAUUGUAGUUGAUCCUUUAUAAAGAUUAUUAGAAGAAGUUACUUUAGGGAUAACAGCGUUAUUUUUCUUGAGAGUUCAGAUUGAAAGAAAAGUUUGCGACCUCGAUGUUGAAUUAAAAAUUUCUUUAUGGUGCAGCAGCUAUAAUAGAGGGUCUGUUC